rnacentral:rRNA from 1 species
AUGAUGAAUCGCAUCCGACAUAAUUCUCCAUCACCGAUCCAAUGCCUACGAGCUUUUCACAUAUUGUUCUUCGCUUAUUUACUUUUCCGUUGCUACUGUUACAAUCACUACAAAACCCAAAAAUAUUACUUUAGCUACCAUUACCUUUACUUCCAUAUUACUUUGCUACUAAAUACUUUGCUGCAGAUACUAAGUUAUCCAGGUGUGGUUAAAUUGACAACUCAACUGCUAAUACUUGAGAAUAUUUUUUGGCUCCCCUUGUGUCGAAUCAAUAAAUUUGGGUUGAAUACUCUACCCUCGAAAAUUGUUGUGAUCCCCUAUACUUGUAGGUUAUCACUUGCUUCAGUGCUUGUAGUCGUUGCUAGGUGGUCUAUAAAUCUGGAUGUAAAUUUUAUUAUUUUUGGUGUUUGUUGUACUGUCAUGAUUGAAGAUGAAUAUGUAAUGGACGAUAAACCAUAA